GGGGCUGUGGCUCAGUUGUGGAGCAUCUCCUUGGUAAGCAGGAGGUCCCAGGUUCAAUUCCAAGUGUCUCCG
rnacentral:tRNA from 1 species